GCACAUAUGAUUUUUUUUUUUUUUUUUUAAUAAUUUAAAGAAAAAAUUGUCGACUGUCUAUACUAUUAAUUUCACAAUGUCUUCUUCCAAUUGUAUCAAUUAUCAUAUUCUGCAUCAUCCAACAGUUGCAAAAAAGUGGCAGCUCGGAAGCUGAGUAAUAAUGACAGUUAAGCGAAGAAAAAAAAGGAGCUUUUUAUUGGAGUAGAGCGCAAGCGAACCAGCACAGUCGAGGGAACAAAGCCACGAAAAAACGAAAUAGGAGUGGAGUGAGGUGCCUCUGAGGAAUUGAGAGUACAACGGUGACCACAGCCUCGUCGCUGAUUGGUGGAGUCAGCGUUUGUGGCAAGAUGGCUGCUCGAGGGCAGGCAUUCUCCCUCUUUAUCUUCAUCUUUAUCUUUCUCUGCUCUCUCAUUCUGUACACAACCAGCAUCCACAACACACACUGGAUAUAUAUAAUAUGUAACGCUGUGGCCUCGGCUCUAGACUACUCCACACUCCUUAUUCUAGACUACACCCUACCCUAGAUCUGGAAACCUCGAGCAGGAUCCUUCUCCAGCUUCUUCUUGUUCUUGUUCUUGUAUAUGUGUCAAAUAGAUGUAUGCACGUGUACCAAGCACCAGUUUUGAAACAAUACCGGCGUUCCAACCUCCACUCAACUAGCUCUAACUCGGAAAACCUUUUCCUUUUUCAGUUGCGGGUCUCCUCUUCUGUUUUCCAGAACAAGUCUCAACUACCGAGAGGAGAAACUUUAAUCCACGUCUCUACUAAUUUUCCUACUUUGCCUUAGCCUGUUCUUGUUCUCAGACCAACCCUCCUUUCUUGCUCCUUGUUCCUUGUCAUUGUCAACCGAAGGUUAUGUGGACCCAUAAAUAUAUAUAGAGCUGAGCAAAGAGAAUGUGAUAAUAAGGACAACUGAAGCUUAAUUAGUUAAUAGUUGGUGUUAGGUGCUACUGCAGCUGCUGCUGCUGCUGGUGCUGGUGGAGGUUCUUUUGGAGUUUCGAGCUGGGACGAGAGAUUAAUUGCAUGGAGGAGAAUAUUGAACGGUUAGGGGCGAAUGAGGAAAUCUUUGGUAUUAUUAGACUUUAAUUAACGGAAAAGCUUCUGAUAUUUGUGUUUAUGUUUGAUGUUUUGGGUUUGUUGAUUUUUUUUUGGUCAAAGAAAUUUUAUUGG